rnacentral:tRNA from 1 species
GCUCCUAUCGUCUAGCUCGGCCAAGGACAUGGGGCUUUCAACCCUAAAACCCGGGUUCAAAUCCCGGUGGGAGCA